GGAAAGGGCAGUUCACCAGGACAUCCUGCCAAGAUUCUUACAUUUACCAAGGGGCAGAGUAGUGAACAGACACAGAAGGCUGCUGAUUUUAGAGCAAGGACUUGAGGUGGAAGCGGCAAGAGAAUAAAUCCUGGAGUCCAAGGCCUGAAACAGAUUUUACUUCCUUCUCAGCUUUACUGAAAGGCUAGUCCUGUUCAGCACCUUAUUGUUUCAUUGGAUGAGAGAAACCUAGGCAAUGGUCCUGGGACUUUGGAAUAAAGCAUCUACUUAUUCCUGCUUGUAUCAACUGUAGAAAGACUCAUAGUGUUUUUGCCUGGAGAAAGGCAUUAUUCUUCCUUCAGAAUCACCUGCUUCUCAAACCUACUCUUGAAGAGGAAGACGUUGUAAACAG
rnacentral:lncRNA from 1 species